AUGACACUUAGAAUCUUAAUUAAGAAAUCCAUUUGCCUCUGGAACGAUGACCAUAGCAUCCAAUUAAUCAGAUGUGACCAAAAUGUCAAGAUCCUCAUAAAGAAAUCUUUCACUCAUCUGGGUUUUAAUAUCAAGAGAUUUUUAUUUUUUUGUAAUUUUUUUUUGAGCCUUAUAAAUAAAGGGCAUGGAAGGAAUUGACUUAUUUAUAGUUUCUUCUUAUUUCAUGGUGAUUGUGCUUGCCAUCCCUCCCAUACAGCUGCAGAGCUCCUUAGAUGGGAAAGACAUAGACUGAGUAAUCAUAAUGGCUACUAAAAAGGAGAAACACAAAAGGGUUGGGUUCAAAACAAGAUCCAAACCCAGCUCUGGUGCCCCUCACUCUCUGUGUAAUGUGUUACGAUUACUUCUUUUAAAUGUAAUGUUGAAACCCAUUUAAGCCCAGAUGCUGUCACUGGAAACUCAUAAAAACACCAGUUUAAGCAGUCCCACACCAGUUGAGCAUCCCAUUAGCCUUUCUCAGACAAUGGCCAGCACCAACAGGGGAAAAAACUUAAGAAACACAACAAUGAUCCGUUCCUCUUUCCUUUCUUCUAGUGAUCAGUGCUGCAGGCAUUUCCUCCUCUUGAUAUCACAUUAGGGCCAUUGUUUAGUUAUCCUCAAUGGACCUUUCUCCAAUUGACUUGCCUGAUCCCAUUUUGAACCUGCUAAUAUUUUUCACAUCCAAACUUAAUUUAGCAGUGAGUCAUACAGCUCAAUAUCUUGUUGUGUGGAAAAUUGUUCUCUUUGGUUUUAACUGUUUUUAUCUGUCAUUGGAUAAAUUAUUUUGUUUAUAUGGCAAGGAAUAAUGAAUAAUUGUUCCUUAUUCAUCUUCUCUGUCCUAGUUAUGAUUUUAUAAACCUUCUCUCCCCUCACACACAAGCCAUCCCGAGCUGAAGAAAGCUUGCCUGCUUAGCUUCAGCAGGUGCUGAGCCAUACUUGCAGCCACCCUUGUCCCCCUUCAGAGUACUCCAAGUUCUACUGUAUCCUUUCAGAGAGAGCAUCACCAGAGUUAUACCAAAACACUCGCCAGAUGUGAAAAAUGUGCAACAAUGGAAGUACUCCAGGAUAUAAAAUAAUAGGACUUGUGGCUUGUGGAGUAACUGGUUUGGGAGUUUGACUGGUUUUAUCUUGAAUAGAAAAAUGAUGUUUUCAUCUCUCUUUCUAAAUGAGUUCAAGCUGCUUUACAUUUGGACUAAGCAAGCUAGGACUUGCACCAGAAUAGGAAUGUUCACUCACAGAGGCAAUCUACAGUAGCCUUCCAUUUAAAAAUUUCUCCCUAUCCUGUUAUACGUCAAUUUUCAUCCAUCUACAAACCCUCAGUCUCAGAGCUUUCUGCAUUUCUUUCACAGGAGCACUGUGUGGAUUAAUUAAUGCACACUAUUGGUUGAAACUAAUUAGUGACAAAAUUUAAUUACCUUCAACACCAGUUGACUCUUAUCCACACAUGUGCAAACUAUAAUUUCCCAUUCCUUUGGGAUACAUUUCUCAUAUGGGCUGCACAUGUUUCAUAAAUUGAAAUGUGUUGGAGGUUCUCCUUGUUCUGGGAAAUUUUUGUGGUCUGCAAACCACAGACACAAGCAGGAGUCCAAAAGACUUCAGUAGAACACAGCCUGCUCUAGCACAGUAGAUACACAGGUCAAUAAAUAUGCAAGUACUGCACCUAAAUUGAUACUA
ensembl:lncRNA